rnacentral:rRNA from 1 species
ACGGUCCUAAGGUAGCGAAAUUCCUUGUCGGGUAAGUUCCGACCUGCACGAAUGGCAUAACGAUGGCCACACUGUCUCCUCCCGAGACUCAGUGAAGUUGAAAUGUUUGUGAUGAUGCAAUCUACCCGCGGCUAGACGGAAAGACCCCAUGAACCUUUACUGCAGCUUUGCAUUGAACUGUGAACCGAUUUGUGUAGGAUAGGUGGGAGGCAGAGAAGAGGCCACGCCAGUGGUCUUGGAGCCGACCUUGAAAUACCACCCUGAUUUGUUUGCGGUUCUAACCACGGACAGUGAUCCUGUCUUGGGACCGUGCAUGGUAGGCAGUUUGACUGGGGCGGUCUCCUCCUAAAGGGUAACGGAGGAGUGCGAAGGUACGCUAGGUACGGUCGGAAAUCGUGCUGAUAGUGCAAUGGCAAAAGCGUGCUUGACUGCGAGAGCAACAACUCGAGCAGAUGCGAAAGCAGGUCAUAGUGAUCCGGUGGCUCUGAAUGGAAGGGCCAUCGCUCAACGGAUAAAAGGUACUCUGGGGAUAACAGGCUGAUACCGCCCAAGAGUUCAUAUCGACGGCGGUGUUUGGCACCUCGAUGUCGGCUCAUCUCAUCCUGGGGCUGUAGUCGGUCCCAAGGGUAUGGCUGUUCGCCAUUUAAAGAGGUACGUGAGCUGGGUUUAAAACGUCGUGAGACAGUUUGGUCCCUAUCUACCGCGGGCGCUGGAAGAUUGACAGGGGCUGCUCCUAGUACGAGAGGACCGGAGUGGACGCACCUCUGGUGUAUCGGUUGUGACGCCAGUCGCAUUGCCGAGUAGCUAUGUGCGGAAGAGAUAACCGCUGAAAGCAUCUAAGCGGGAAACUUGCCUGAAGAUUAGUCUUCCCGGAGGCUUGACCUCCCUGAAGGGUCGUCCGAGACCAGGACGUUGAUAGGCCAGGUGUGGAAGCGCUGUGAGGCGUGAAGCUAACUGGUACUAAUUGCCCGUGCGGCUUGAUCCU